UUCUAUGUCCAGCCAGACUCUAAGCUUUUGUUUAUCAUUUGUAUCCGUGGGUAGGUCAUGAUCCUUAAUUUGUUUAUAUAUUGAGAUCUUUAUAGUUCUGGUUCUUUUCCUUAUACUUUUAAUUAUUGUAUUUUCAGUUUCAAUGCCAUUGAUCCAAAGACAAAGAAGAUCUUGCAGCUUUUGCGAUUGAGACAGAUUGAACGAUACCGAGCUGAGAUUAAGAGACUUCAGGAAUCUGAGGCAGAAAUUAAAGCAUUAUAAAAAAAACUAUGCAGCUUUGUUAAAGGAAAAGGAGGUAUCUGCUUGCUCUUCUAUCAAAUUAUAGUGUUCAAUUCAUUUCUUUGUUUAACUUGUUGACUUAGGUAAUUGGAUUUGUAAAUCCUACACCCGUGCCAUUUUUGAUACUAAAUUGCCAUACAUGGCUUUUGGCAUUUGACAGGAUCAAAUUUCUAGAUUGAACAAAGAAAAUGGCUCAUUGAAACAAAAUCUGAACACAACUACUGCAUCUCUAAAUGCCUCUAGAAUUGAAAACUACAAAGCGACAACAAAUGGGACCAACUUGCACAAGAUACCCCAACCUGAAGAGUGUGAAGGAAUUGAUUUACAAGAGGGGUUAUGGCAAGUUGAACAAGCCGAGAAUCGCUUUGACUACUGCAGUAAAUUUAUUAGCCAGAUGGCAAAUGGACUGUUUCGAUUAGUAUGGGCGCUAGGAAGGAACGUAACUAUUGCAAAUACAUUUGGAUUUGGUGCUUUACUUGUCAUUCUUGGUCUGGGUGGCUUUGUCAUAUCACAAGAGGAUAUGAAGAAAUGGCUGUUGUGGGGAUAUUGGCUCUCACCAUUAACUUAUGGACAAAAUGCCAUCGCUAUCAAUGAAUUUCUCGGAGAAAGUUGGAGACAUGUAUGCAAGGAUAACUUUUCACGAUUGUGAAAAUAGAGCAAGAGACUAGAACAAUUAGAGUAGGUGAAAAUUGCUUGGAAAAUGUUAAUUCAUGCGUUUGGAAUUUUAUUUUGCCUAUUUUGUGAACUGUCAAGGAUAAUGAGUUUAGACAGAAUACUCCAAUAUUCAAAUUACUUUUGUCAAAUAUGGAUUGCAUUUUAUAGCAGCAGCUACA